rnacentral:rRNA from 1 species
CUAUCACCUAGCGGCGGACGGGUGAGUAAUGCUUAGGAAUCUGCCUAUUAGUGGGGGACAACAUUUCGAAAGGAAUGCUAAUACCGCAUACGUCCUACGGGAGAAAGCAGGGGAUCUUCGGACCUUGCGCUAAUAGAUGAGCCUAAGUCGGAUUAGCUAGUUGGUGGGGUAAAGGCCUACCAAGGCGACGAUCUGUAGCGGGUCUGAGAGGAUGAUCCGCCACACUGGGACUGAGACACGGCCCAGACUCCUACGGGAGGCAGCAGUGGGGAAUAUUGGACAAUGGGCGCAAGCCUGAUCCAGCCAUGCCGCGUGUGUGAAGAAGGCCUUAUGGUUGUAAAGCACUUUAAGCGAGGAGGAGGCUACUUUAGAUAAUACCUAGAGAUAGUGGACGUUACUCGCAGAAUAAGCACCGGCUAACUCUGUGCCAGCAGCCGCGGUAAUACAGAGGGUGCAAGCGUUAAUCGGAUUUACUGGGCGUAAAGCGCGCGUAGGCGGCUAAUUAAGUCAAAUGUGAAAUCCCCGAGCUUAACUUGGGAAUUGCAUUCGAUACUGGUUAGCUAGAGUGUGGGAGAGGAUGGUAGAAUUCCAGGUGUAGCGGUGAAAUGCGUAGAGAUCUGGAGGAAUACCGAUGGCGAAGGCAGCCAUCUGGCCUAACACUGACGCUGAGGUGCGAAAGCAUGGGGAGCAAACAGGAUUAGAUACCCUGGUAGUCCAUGCCGUAAACGAUGUCUACUAGCCGUUGGGGCCUUUGAGGCUUUAGUGGCGCAGCUAACGCGAUAAGUAGACCGCCUGGGGAGUACGGUCGCAAGACUAAAACUCAAAUGAAUUGACGGGGGCCCGCACAAGCGGUGGAGCAUGUGGUUUAAUUCGAUGCAACGCGAAGAACCUUACCUGGCCUUGACAUAGUAAGAACUUUCCAGAGAUGGAUUGGUGCCUUCGGGAACUUACAUACAGGUGCUGCAUGGCUGUCGUCAGCUCGUGUCGUGAGAUGUUGGGUUAAGUCCCGCAACGAGCGCAACCCUUUUCCUUAUUUGCCAGCGAGUAAUGUCGGGAACUUUAAGGAUACUGCCAGUGACAAACUGGAGGAAGGCGGGGACGACGUCAAGUCAUCAUGGCCCUUACGGCCAGGGCUACACACGUGCUACAAUGGUCGGUACAAAGGGUUGCUACCUAGCGAUAGGAUGCUAAUCUCAAAAAGCCGAUCGUAGUCCGGAUUGGAGUCUGCAACUCGACUCCAUGAAGUCGGAAUCGCUAGU